GGGCAGUGGCACAGGUUUAUUGGUUCCAUUAGUCAUUUAAUCUCCAGACCAAAGCAUGCCACAGUCAAAAACCAGAUACAGGAUCAGAGAGUGCAAAAAAGCCUUUCCCCUCCAGCCCUCCAAGUGGUGGAGCCAAGGCAAGCUUCUUGUUUAACCACGCCCAACGGUUCGACAGACAAGGCAAAAACUACCCUGAUUAUAGCAAUGGAAGUGAAAUUCAGCCCCAUGCUUGCUGCUCCAGCCUUCUAGAGAUCUGACUUUGUGCUUACUCUCGCCAUCCUCUUGCCAAAGCCCAAGGGAGACGUUUAAGCGUCGCCUGGGCAACAGUUUAAGUGAGAGGUUCUCAGGCUACGGUUACCAAAAUUACACGGAGGACCUCCUGAAACCACAGGAGAUUCUACUCAGCUGGACAGAGCAGGGCUGUCAUUGCUCCAAGUUAUAACACCCCUGAUGGUCUAUGCCAGACCAGCGAGAUACUAGCUGCUCUCCCAUUUCCAAGCAAUGUCAGGUCACCAUCUGCUUAUAAGUGUGUAUUCUCUCAGCUCAUGGGAAAGAAGAAACGGCAUGGAGUACCACGUCAUAAAGUCAGCCUCCCAUGAUUUGGGAACCGUGUCCCUCAUUAGCAAUGUUUGUCUGUUUCUAUGACAUAAAGUGACAUGCCAUGACCCAUUUCAAGGCGCCAAUGUGAUAACAUCAGGGACUGUAGAAUUCAGCAAGGAGAAUGGAUCAGCCUGUCCCACUUCCAAAAUCAGAGCUCUUUCCUCUAAAAUAUCCAAAGCUGGGCCAUGAGACAGACUGAGUUAUAUUGAUUCCUUUCUCAUUGCUGUAAUAACAAUACCUGACAAAAGGCAACUUCAGGGAGGUAGGGUUUAUUUGGGUGUACAGUUUGAGGGGACAUAGCCUGUCACAGCAGGCAAAGGCGUGGCUGCAAGUGUACAGGGUAGCUGAUCUCAUUGCACUGGUCCAGAAGUAGAACACAGACAGAAAGUGAGGCUGGACUAUAUCCCAUCAAAACCCACCCCAGUGACCCACAGCCCCCAGCAAGGCUCUAGCUCCUAGGAUCCCAGAAUAGCAUCACCAACUGGGGUCCCGAAUGUUCCAACACAUGGGCCUAUGGGGGCCAUUUCAUAAUCAAAGGACUGCAUAAAGGAAACAAUACAUUCUGAAUAUACUCUUUUAUCGAUGGCAUUUGCAGAGCGCAAACAUACCUAUUGCUACAAUUCUAUUGUGAUCUUUGAAGAGCAGUAGAUACAACUUUAAAUCUCAACUUUGUGUAACCUUGGCUAUGUCUCAAACCUCUGAGGGCCUCAUAUUCCUCACAGCUAAGCCAGAAUGAGUGCCUUCUUUAAAGGGAAGCCAUGAGGACUCAGAGAUGUGCUAUGCAUAAAUAUGUAAAGUACUUGGCAACCAGUUCUACUUAAGAAAUGUUUGUGCUCUCUCUUCCUCCCCCACACCCCACAUAUUUUUAAACCUAGAAAAGACUCCAUAAUGUCCCAUUUAGAUGCCUUGUUAAGGAAUCAGAGUCCCAAAAGAGGUCAAUAGCUGUGCUCAACAAACCACAGGCAGCUCGCUGGCAGAAAAGACGCCAUGCCCAAAAAGUUUGUCCUCUCUGCAGACGAACCUAGAGGCCAACCUGUGCAAGCUCUACCAUCGGAGUGAUGGUUUGUUGAGGUUUAGUCACUGUGUGACAGAAAGGCCCAGAGAUGUCUUCCUGCAGGAACGUAAGGUUUGGGUCUGAGCCUGCCCUGCAGAGUUUCUGGCUCUUUUUACCUUUCUGCCGUGGAUGACGGAAACAUUUAAAGCUAUGAAUCGGACCGCAGCUCUGCACCCUCGUCUUCCCUUCACACCAGCUAAUGUGUUUUUCAUUUCUCUUGGCUGGCUUGGUUUCCCACAUGUCCUCCCAAGCUCUUCCUCUCAGUUCCCCGAGGGCUUCCCACAACAAACCUGCUUUGGCGUCCUCUCCAAGGAGGGGCUGCUGAAAUACAUACCGGAUAUGUCUCUGGCUCUGUUUAUCAGCCCCAGCCCAGACUCCUGGGGCUGAAGAUGCCGAAACAAAGAGCCUGAACUGGUCAGGUGGCCCAGUUGUGCCUUCAUUCCAACAGCUCAGGGAUCAUUCAACUUUGUUAUCAUUUCUCCAAAGACCCUGGCAAAGACUUUCCUUUCUUUGCUUGCUUUCUGAUUUUUUGAAAGCAUCGACAGUAGCAGCUAUUAUUAUGGAACACUGUAUUUUGCAAUAGGCCCUUUCUUUACCUGUGUUUUCCUGUUUAAUCCCAUUACAACCUAUAAAGUAAAAGAUACCAAAAUAGGUUCAUUGCAAAACUAGAAUAGCCCAAGUCCGUUCGUGCCAAGUAUUGGCAGGACCUUCCACCUUACCCUCAGUGCCUCGUGUAACUGAGAAGGCACCAGCCUUAACAGCGAGCCUGUAGCCUUUGUGGGCCCUGCCUCUGUUCCAAUGUCUGCUCCUGCUCCUCACUCAGGUCUUACAUACCUCCUAUGCAAGCAGCCUUGCUUUGGGCAAGCCCUUGGAGAGGGUAAGCUUACACAUCUUGUGGGUGAGCCUUGUACAGCAAGCAGGGGUGACUAGAAGACCUUUACUCCUUAGGAUCCCUAUUUGAGUUACUAGUUAGAAAGAUACUCAACAGGCACUCUUGCUCUUCUUUGUCUCUCCUCUCCUUAUCUGUGCCAUGAUAUGCUAUUAUCAAGUAUCCCUUUUAGAUAGAUACAGAAUAUGGAUGGUCUUCGGGCAGGACUCUUGCUGUCAGGUAGGACAUUAGGUACUCUGUGGGAUCUAUCGGCUUGCUUGUGCUAUUGAACUGUUUCUUAGAGAAGCUAGGGUUGUUUCCCAACAUAUGCUGGGAUGCCACCGUCCCACGCCUCAUUUUUUCCACCCAGCAAAGCCUCCUCUGGUCUCCAGUUGAAACCAUCUUCUUUCUAAACACAGCCACGUCUGCGUCUCAGUGGGCAUUAUGCUGUCCAGCAUUUGACCACACUCUCUGUCUCUUACCACUUACCCUGGCAGAUUGGUAAGUUCCUCUCUUUUAAAGAACACUUCUGAUUCAUUUUAAUUCACUACUGCAGACCCUACCAUCCUACCCAAUAACAACAGUUUCCAUUUAGUGACGCACUUACUCUGUGUUUGAGAGUCUUCAAUACCUUAUGUAAUCUAUCAUUAACCUACUGAGAUGACUACUGCUGUUUCCAUUCAAUUAACUAUCCACAAAGCAUAUAGAAGUAAUGAAAAGACACACUUCCAACAUGGGUCUGUAGACGUCUCUAAUUCUCAAUCAGAGGAGUCUCAAAGUCUACACUCUUCUGCCUAGCCCAGUCGCCAGGAGAAUAGGUCUUCCACAGCGAAUGUCAAUCUUACCUUCCUACGAGUCAUCAUGACUUUAGCACAAAGAGUAAUUGCAAAGUCGCCAAUCCCACCCCUGCGUCUCACUGACGAAGACACGGGGACCAAAGAAAGGAAAGUGCGUCAACCAAAGUGGCAGAGACAGUAGCUAACGCGACCUAUGCACACCAUUUCCCCUUGUCGCCUGCCACCUCUACACCUCUAAUUUUCCUAAACACUUUCCAUGGGACAGGAAUUGCUCGGUAUUGGAAAGCAUAGGAAGGAAGAGGGUGUGGCUGCAGAUGUAUUUAAUGUUGCUUAGUCGCUCUGUAUAGGACACUCAACUUCCCUGAAGCUGGGCUUUCCUGAGGACUUGUGCAUAGAUCAAAUGCUGGCUUCUCUUUUCCCGUAAGUCAGCCUCCGGUAAGUGAGUCAGCUUGGCUCGUGCCUGGGAGUCCGUGCCAUGCCUUUGUCUUUCUUGUGCUGGUUGCUGGUUUGUCGGGUUGCUUGCAUGUGUACAGGCCCUAGGAUGAACGAGAUAGCACAGACUUACUAUCGGCUGCUGUUUUAACCUGCUAUUGACAAUUUCUACUAGCCUGCUUUCUACCGUGUA
rnacentral:lncRNA from 1 species